GGUUUAUUAAUGUUAAUCUGACUGGGUAUAGUAGGAAAAGGGUUUAUUCAUGUUAAUCUGACUCUGGGUAUAGUAGGAAAAGGGUUUAUUCAUGUUAAUCUGACUCUGGGUAUAGUAGGAAAAGGGUUUAUUCAUGUUAAUCUGACUCUGGGUAUAGUAGGAAAAGGGUUUAUUCAUGUUAAUCUGACUCUGGGUAUAGUAGGAAAAGGGUUUAUUCAUGUUAAUCUGACUCUGGGUAUAGUAGGAAAAGGGUUUAUUCAUGUUAAUCUGACUCUGGGUAUAGUAGGAAAAGGGUUUAUUCAUGUUAAUCUGACUGGGUAUAGUAGGAAAAGGGUUUAUUCAUGUUAAUCUGACUCUGGGUAUAGUAGGAAAAGGGUUUAUUCAUGUUAAUCUGACUGGGUAUAGUAGGAAAAGGGUUUAUUCAUGUUAAUCUGACUCUGGGUAUAGUAGGAAAAGGGUUUAUUCAUGUUAAUCUGACUCUGGGUAUAGUAGGAAAAGGGUUUAUUCAUGUUAAUCUGACUCUGGGUAUAGUAGGAAAAGGGUUUAUUCAUGUUAAUCUGACUCUGGGUAUAGUAGGAAAAGGGUUUAUUCAUGUUAAUCUGACUCUGGGUAAGUAGGAAAAGGGUUUAUUCAUGUUAAUCUGACUCUGGGUAUAGUAGGAAAAGGGUUUAUUAAUGUUAAUCUGACUCUGGGUAUAGUAGGAAAAGGGUUUAUUAAUGUUAAUCUGACUCUGGGUAUAGUAGGAAAAGGGUUUAUUCAUGUUAAUCUGACUCUGGGUAUAGUAGGAAAAGGGUUUAUUCAUGUUAAUCUGACUCUGGGUAAGUAGGAAAAGGGUUUAUUAAUGUUAAUCUGACUGGGUAUAGUAGGAAAAGGGUUUAUUCAUGUUAAUCUGACUCUGGGUAUAGUAGGAAAAGGGUUUAUUAAUGUUAAUCUGACUGGGUAUAGUAGGAAAAGGGUUUAUUCAUGUUAAUCUGACUCUGGGUAUAGUAGGAAAAGGGUUUAUUAAUGUUAAUCUGACUCUGGGUAAGUAGGAAAAGGGUUUAUUCAUGUUAAUCUGACUCUGGGUAAGUAGGAAAAGGGUUUAUUUAUGUUAUCCAUGAGUUAUUCUGGGUAAGUAGGAAAAGGGUUUAUUAAUUGCCAAAAUGUGGCACUAUCCUUUUAAGGAGGAAAUACAGGAGAUUGGAUGUAGGCCAACAAGCUGGGCUGCAUCUCGUGUGUUUGAAGUCAGCCAUUGUAAAUAUAGACAAACUUCCCUCAAAGGAUUUAGGAAAUAUGGAUAUAUAUAAUAUACAUCCUGCUUUUUAUAAUGUACCACCACACCUUUUAUUGGAAUAAGGUAUGAAGCCAUUGUGACACUUGGCAAACCUAGUGUGUGUGUGUGUAAAGCUGAUAUGGUGACAGAGGUGAAGGCAGUCAACUGGUGCGAGUUGAGUCAUAGGAACACAAUGGCUUAGGGCUCUGGGUAUAGUAUGGUUUGCGUUCACCGCAAAGCUUUUUUGAAACAUGACAUGCCAGGUGGAUGAACAACAAGCUACGCUGUGUUUUGGUAUAUGCACACAGCAGUAAGGCAGAGGGCUGGCUGACAACACUAUAUUAUCUGGCAGAGGGCUGGCUGACAAAGCUUUAUUAUCUGCACACAGCAGUAGGGCAGAGGGCUGGCUGACAACACUAUAUUAUCUGGCAGAGGGCUGGCUGACAACGCUUUAUCAUCUGCACACAGCAGUAGGGCAGAGGGCUGGCUGACAACACUAUCAUCUGGCAGAGUGCUGGCUGACAACACUAUCAUCAGGCAGAGUGCUGGCUGACAACACUAUCAUCAGGCAGAGGGCUGGCUGACAACACUUUAUCAUCUGGCAGAGUGCUGGCUGACAAAGCUUUAUCAUCUGAACACAACAGUAGGGCAGAGGGCUGGCUGACAACACUUUAUUAUCUGGCAGAGGGCUGGCUGACAACACUAUCUGGCAGAGGGCUGGCUGACAACACUAUCAUCUGGCAGAGGGCUGGCUGACAACACUAUCAUCUGGCAGAGGGCUGGCUGACAACACUUUAUCAUCUGGCAGAGGGCUGGCUGACAACACUAUCAUCUGGCAGAGG